rnacentral:tRNA from 1 species
GCGCCUAUAGCUCAGCAGGAUAGAGCGACGGUUUCCUAAACCGCAGGCCGAUGGUUCGAAUCCAUUUAGGCGCACCA